AUACGGAGGGUGCAAGCGUUGUUCGGAAUUACUGGGCGUAAAGCGCGCGUAGGCGGUCUGUUAUGUCAGAUGUGAAAGUCCUCGGCUCAACCGGGGAAGUGCAUUUGAAACUGGCAGACUUGAGUACUGGAGGGGGUGGUGGAAUUCCCGGUGUAGAGGUGAAAUUCGUAGAUAUCGGGAGGAAUACCGGUGGCGAAGGCGACCACCUGGCCAGAUACUGACGCUGAGGUGCGAAAGCGUGGGGAGCGAACGGGAUUAGAUACCCCGGUAGUCC
rnacentral:rRNA from 1 species